GAGGCGAAGCAUCAUGUUUACUUCGUUCACACUGCAUUUAUCAACAGCAACACCAUUCAAUCCUUCAGCCACAACAGCUGCAUCUCCAACUUCCGAACAAAUCAUCGGCAUCUUACCUUUCUUAGCCUUCAGAAUUUUAGAGUUAACCACAUUCACACCUUCUUCAACUUCAACAUCACCACCUGCUUCGAUUUCACCAACUCCUCCCGUUGCCACGUCGCAACCAUCACCACAAUCCCAAUGGUUUCAAUUUAAUACAUAUUUAGUCGAUUAAAGGAUAAAUAUUAAUUAGAUAUUAAUUAGAACAUGAUUUUCCUUCACAUUUUUAUUACAAAUACAGCUUUGUAUGAAUGGACGAAUGGUGAAUGAUGAAUGAUGAAAAAUGAAUCUGCAUUCGUGGCUAAUUUUUAAAUUUU
rnacentral:lncRNA from 1 species